UACGGGGGGAGCAAGCGUUGUUCGGAUUUACUGGGCGUAAAGAGCGUGUAGGCGGCCAGAUAAGUCCGCUGUGAAAACUCGAGGCUCAACUUCGAGCUGUCGGUGGAAACUAUUUGGCUAGAGUCCGGAAGAGGAGAGUGGAAUUCCUGGUGUAGCGGUGAAAUGCGUAGAUAUCGGGAGGAACACCAGUGGCGAAGGCGACUACCUGGCCCAUUCUUGACGCUGAGGCGCGAAAGCUAGGGGAGCGAACGGG
rnacentral:rRNA from 1 species